AUCGAUAGAUCAAAGGCUAUAAACGCGACGUCUGUCGCAACACCUUUGUUUAGUACAUCCUGUACG
rnacentral:sRNA from 1 species